rnacentral:rRNA from 1 species
CAGAGGGUGCAAGCGUUAAUCGGAAUUACUGGGCGUAAAGCGUGCGUAGUCGGUUAUCUAAGUCAGGUGUGAAAUCCCCGGGCUCAACCUGGGAAUUGCAUUUGAUACUGGAUAGCUAGAGUUCGGCAGAGGGAAGUGGAAUUUCUGGUGUAGCGGUGAAAUGCGUAGAUAUCAGAAGGAACAUCAGUGGCGAAAGCGACUUCCUGGACCAGAACUGACGAUCAGGCACGAAAGCGUGGGGAGCAAACAGGAUUAGAUACCCUGGUAGUCCACGCCAUAAACGAUGACAACUAGACGUUGGGAGGAUAUGCCUCACAGUGUCGCAGCUAACGCGUUAAGUUGUCCGCCUGGGGAGUACGGCCGCAAGGUUG